CCCAGUCUUCGAUUUUCACGGUCCAAGAAGAGUGCAUCGACACGGCAGUUGCGGCGGCCGUGCUCUACCAGACCGGUCCAACCAUAUCUCUCUGUGUGGCCUCCAGAGACCUCACUAAAUAAUCCAUCGGUAGUAAGCGACGGGCGGUGUGUACAAAGGGCAGGGACGUAAUCAGCGCUAGCUAAUGACUAGCACUUACUAGAAAUUCCAGGUUCAUGGGGACCAUUGCAGUCCCCAAUCCCC